GGAAUCUUUGUGUGGUGAAUAUCAUAGUGGAUUGUGAAAAAGAAGGGAUGAUUUUGUGUUACUAGUUACUCUUAUAAGCUCUAGAAAGUUGUUAAAAGAGAAAAAAAAAUUGUUGAAAAAAAAGAAGAAAAAAGAAAAGAAAAAGAAAAAAAAGUGUGAAGUCGAGUGUAUAUUGAGAAAUUUGUUAGAGAAUCGACUUUGUUUGUUGGAAAUAAAUGGAGAGCAUAAAAGAGUGUUUAGUUCUGUUUUGUGAUGAAAAUCCCUUGAGCUGUGUUGAUCAUGUGAUAUAGUUGGGUGGAAGAUGGAAUUUAUUCCAUGCUUAAUUAGUGAAGUCAUAAGGUUGGUGUUCUUGAUCUAUUUGAGUCACUUAGCCGAUAUUUCCCUACCUAAUCCAAUGUCCCUACAUUAUAACCCG
rnacentral:lncRNA from 1 species